rnacentral:lncRNA from 1 species
AAAUUUACCUUCCUUUCUUCUUCCUUCACUUCCCUCUCCCUUUUCCUUGCCCCUCUUGUUUCUUCUCUCUUUCCCUUACUUUACCUUCUGAGCCUUCAUACUUUUGCUGUGUCUAUUUCUGUCUCUCUUUCUCCCUUUCUCUUUCUAUCCACAGAAGUCUUAUGUUUGUCUAAUAAUUGGCAGAAGAGAUCUUUUUUUUUUUUUUGCUUUUUAAGUGAUGAAUAGUUGGCGUAACAUCAAAGACAAGCCCUGUGGUUUUCUGGCUGCCCCAGAAGGGCGGUGCAGCUGGCAGGCAUCCCAGCUGCCUGGUGAUAGGCAUGUGGAAGAGAUACCAAGCUCACAGGUCACUGUGUAUGUGUUCAUGUACAUGUGUUUUUCAGGCCAACAGCAAGCUGAAGCAGAUUGAGAAGGAAUACACUCAGAAGCUUGCCAAAUCUUCACAGAUCAUAGCAGAACUUCAGACAACCAUUUCCUCUCUGAAAGAAGAGAACAGCCAGCAGCAGCUUGCUGCAGAAAGGCGGCUCCAGGAUGUUAGACAAAAGUUUG